ACGAAGGGUGCAAGCGUUACUCGGAAUUACUGGGCGUAAAGCGUGCGUAGGUGGUUUGUCGCGUCUGCCGUGAAAGUCCGGGGCUCAACUCCGGAUCUGCGGUGGGUACGGGCAGACUAGAGUGAUGUAGGGGAGACUGGAAUUCCUGGUGUAGCGGUGAAAUGCGUUGAUAUCUAGGGGAACACCAAAAGCGAAGGCAAGAGACUGGACCACUCCUGACGCUGAAACACGAAAGCGUGGGUCGCGAAUGGGA
rnacentral:rRNA from 1 species